GCCACAUCUCGUUGAAACACCGAUUCCCGUACGAUCACCGAAGUUAAGCAACAUAGAGCCUGGCCAGUACGUAGAUUGAUAAACGUUUGUGUAUGCCAGGUGCUGUAAG